GCGACACGGAUCGCCGUCUACCUGAUGACCUUUCUCAUCGUGACGGUGGCCUGGGCGGCGCACACACGGUUGUUCCAAGUUGUUGGGAAAACAGACGACACACUUGCCCUGCUCAACCUGGCCUGCAUGAUGACCAUCACCUUCCUGCCUUACACGGUGAGCAACGCCAGGCCCCUGACACCCUGAGGCUUUGCUGGGCACCGCUGGAUUUGACCUGUCCUCAAAAGCAGACCAGCUGGAUGGCCCAGAGCCCAGGCCACACAGUUGUAGAGAAGAGAGAAGGUUCUGGGGAGAGCCAGCUGUCAGGGGCUGCCAGGGGCUUCUUUCAGGCUGGCGGGGAGGGGAGGCAGUGGCCCCGAUGAGGAAGUCACCGGCGCUCCCAGCUCCCACCCGGUCCUGAGCCCGCAGCCCCCU
rnacentral:sRNA from 1 species